CGUUGAGGCGGUUCCGUAAGUUGGACGUGAAAGCCCCUGGCCUAACUGGGGGAGGUCGUUCAAUACUGCGGAGCUUGAGGACAGCAGAGGGAGGUGGAAUUCCCGGUGUAGUGGUGAAAUGCGUAGAUAUCGGGAGGAACACCUGUGGCGAAAGCGGCCUCCUGGGCUGCUCCUGACGCUGAAGGCGAAAGCUAGGGUAGCGAACG
rnacentral:rRNA from 1 species